AAUUCAUGGACAUUUGGGACAAAUGUUCCUGUUAUGAACGUCACAGAAAAAUCUCAAAUACAGUCAGAGCCCAUGGACCAAAGUCAGAGCCAAUCAGAUAUGCUGGUCACAGUCGGUGAACAGCAGCCACCACAGCUUACUACAAAGACACUGCCGGUAAAUACAGUGGAUAUUGCAUCGAUGAGAGGCAGAAACAGUCUCAGCAGAAAGAGACAGUAUCGGUCAUGUGAAAGAAUAGAAACUAUGUUCCACAGUGCUAUAACUAACGGCAAUGAUGCUGCAGAUGACGGAUCUGUAUUUUUACCAGAUAACCAUGCAAUGGACAACACAGACGAGAGAACCAUGAAUGUGUUUUCAUCCACCGCUACCCCCUGCUCACCUGUUCGGGGAGUCCUCAAACACACAUUUUCCUGUGAAUCGACCAACUCAAUGGAAACUCUCAGCAAAAAGAGGCGCAUGGAGGAGACGCGGCAUGUGCGUUUCUCUGAGGAGAUCAUCGCCAUCGACCCCCCAGAGCUGGGCCCAUAUGACUCUGACUCAGAGGAAGAGGAGGAUGAAGAGGACUCUCUCAUAGAGAGGACAGUGAGGAUCACACAGCAGAGCCAGCGCUGUUUGGACCAAUCCAACCAGAGCAGGCAGCACCAGCUCGACGUUCCGUCCUACCCGCCUGGAUACGAGCUCUCAAGAAGCGAAACCCGGGGAAAAAGCCCAGAUAGUAAACCCACAUAUGCAAGUACUGCCCUUUCUAAGUAUUUGUAAAACACACAAUAUAGUGUAAGUUAUACAAUUAAACUUUUGGUUCAACGUCUACUACUUUAUAAACUUCAUGGAAUUGUUAUUUAAAUAAAUUCAAAAUUAUGAAUAUCUGUGACUAAAUUAUUUUUAAGGUUUUAUUCAUAUUUAUUCAUUUCAAUGUUGUUUGACACAUUUUAUUAAUAAUUAUGGAUUAUUCUAAAAUGUUACCAAUUUCGAAAUGACACUGACCUUGGAUUAAAGUUGAAUAUUGGUCACACUAUAUUGUUUGUGUGUGACAUCAAAGGGUAACAUGCAGUAGAUGCAAAGAUUCGCUGUAAAUGUGGAGACAUUUGUUCCAUGGCUUCAUUUCAUAUUGAAUCUUGGCCAUAUGCCUCACACAAAAUAUGCAAUGUUCUCUUUCUUUGAGUCAGUUUAGAGUCCCCCUUUUACAGGUUUCAUCUAUUGUAAUGUCAGCUGUGACUCUCUUAAGCAGAAAUGUUCAGUAGGAUGAGCUGUCUUUUCUUUUCUUGUCCUUUAUAAAACAAAAUGCAUUUUUACAUCAUCAUAAUAAAACAAGUUAGUAGAAAUGUGCUCUAUCUAAUACUUUUUACUAGAUAAUCGUGCAGCGGGCAAAACAGAUGAGACAAGCAUGUAUUUAUUUUCCAAUUAAUGUAAAUAUGUCAGAACAAGAGAUGAAGAAAAACACAUAUGAGGAUAAUAGUUUAUUUUAAUAGACAUGGUUAUAAAUAAUACCUGUUUGUUCAUAUAGUUCCGGUUAGUAUCUGAAGCCUACAUUAUAAGAUGGCUGUCUGUAAAAUAUAAAAUAAUAAUAAUAUAAAAUGGCACCGCCAAUGAAUCCAUGUCAUAAAAGAAAUGGUCAAAUUUGCAUUUUCAUCAGCUUCACUUUGUAUCAUUGACCAAUAUAAAACACACACUAUUCUAAUUAUGACAACAGGGGACGCAUAUAAAUAAUCUAUGACAAUUAUGUAUUCUUAAACUGUCUGAGGCUUAAAUAAAACAUUCAAAUUAUAUACAGGUCAGUCUUGUUUCAACUACAGCUGUUGAUGUUUUAGACAAGAGGGAGACCCGAACAAAAAAAAUCCCAAGCACCCUGAAACAUCCUCCACACCCGGUCAGCGCGAAGUAGCAAUGAAUAUAGAGUUUAAAACCCAGAUUUAAAAGGGGAUGUGUUCUUGUAAGUGAUUUUAGUCUUGAAAUAGUAGUUUCCAUCACUAAUUUUAAGUGUUUAAGAUGAUUAUCGGUGAAUUCAGAAUCAGAAUCAGAAUAGUGUUUAUUGCCAUUGUUUGGAACAGGUUCACAAACUAGGAUUUUUCUCGGUACAAUCGUGCAACAUUAAACAUAUAACACAGAAUGUAGAUAAAAAAUAAGCUAUAAAAACUUUAAAACUAUAAGGGCGUGCAUAUUCCAAUUUAUUUUCCUUUUUUCAGGGAUCCCCUACACAUGGCUUUGAGAGUCUGUUGUAGACAACCAAAUCCACAAGUCAAAACAUAUGUUUGGCUCACUGUAAAACAGAUCAAAAUCAUUUUGUAAUAUAUAAAUAAAUAAUAGAGCGAUGAAAGGAUAAGUGAAGGGUCAUGUCAGACGGGUUGGUCUGAAAUUGAGAGAGAAUCCUUCCCUGAGUCUAAGGAGUUCUUCAUCCCGAUCUUUUUGAGUGACAGUUGGCUGCCUGGACUCUGCGCCAAAGAUUUAAUCUCCGCCGCCGUCACCUAAACGAGAAGGGUCACAUCCAGUUAGAAAAUGCUUAUGCUUAAAUAUGGUGCUUCUGUGCCAAAGAUUAAUCACGGACCUCUUCAAACUUUCUGGCUUUGUACUGCUUGGCUCCUUUCAGAAAGUUGAGUACAAUAAUGUCACAUAGGACGGUACCCUACAAACACAGAACAGUGCGUUCAGAAAGUUUCCAGAGUCUUCUUUUCAAUAUAAAAUGUUACUUCUCUUGCUCAGUUUUUAAAUAAACAUUUUCCCACCCAGAUUGCUACAUAAUAAAAUAGAUAAUACUCACUGUAAAAUGAAUGCGAUAGAUAAAAAAAAAAGUAUUAAAUUUAAACUAUACCAGUCCAACCGAUGUCAAAGCAGCCACCACAUUAAUGACUGUUGGAACCAUAUCAAAUUUUCCAGCCUGCGAAAGCAAAAAUCUUAUUCAUGAAAUGCAUUGAAACACAAAAGUCAUUUCUGUGAUGAGAUACUCACGUGACCAGUGACCAUGACGUCAAAACGAAUGGCAAAGACCUUAAAGAGGGUCCGAUACUCUGUACCAUUGUCGGAUUUAUAAUAUCUGGCAAAUCUGCACAGAACAGAGGAAAUGUUAUUUUCAGCUCAGACUAAGAAAUGUAUCGUGCCUGAAAUUUUACCUGAAGUUGUAUCCUUUAGAUAUGGCAUUCCUCAUGAAGGCCUUGUCCAGUCGUGUGAAAGAAUAGAAUGGUACGCAUUUCUCAACAUCAAGGUCCAGGUUACAUUUCCACUUGAUGUUUAUUCCUAUUUCCCCACCCUGAUUGAGAAGAAAGUCUCUGCAUCAUUUGACUCGAAUAGUGUUGAAAUGUGCAUGUGUGCGGCAAAACCUUAUGAACUAGUUUCUCCACAGUUUGUCCCGUGUAAUUCAAUAUGUCCCCCACUCUGAAAAUGGGGCAAAAGGGACUUUUUUCAGGAUGGUAAGUGCAUUUCUUAAUCUCGUCAGCAGUCAUGUUUGACGGAAAGUUGCCUCUGCAAGAUGCGAAAGAUAGAUUAAUUUCAAACAGUGCUUAACCAGUAAACAGCUUCUCAGAGUGAGCUAUACCUGGUGACAUCAAACAGAGGGAAAUGAAUGCUGUUCUUGAUGAAGAUGGUAAAGUUCCGAAUGUCUAACAUAGGGUUCCUGAAGUAAUGAACAGGUAAUACUUUACAGAACAAUACAACAGGUAUGAGAUCUAGUAAUACACAGUGGGCUCAGAAAGUGUUCAAUUUCCUCUAUUCAUCCAGAUGUUUUGCAGUUUUAGUUUUAGUUAAAGUCUGACACGGAAAAUGUUCCUAAUUCUUAAGAAAUACACACUCAGGUUUCUAAGAAGGCCAUACCUUCUGUAUGAUGGAGAAUGAGUUGAAAUUACAACAGAUAUUAUGAUGACAUAAAAUAAAUAAUACGCUAAUCUCCAAAUGUGUAAAUAUGGUCAUAACGUUAUUCAUUGGUUUUUCAGUGUAAUGCAGCUAUAUGCUUUUUCCAACUCCCUGUUUCGGUUUCUC
ensembl:lncRNA